CUGAAAACAAAGAGAAAGAAGAGUAAUUUAGACUUAAUUUACAGCGAGUCUCGUUAGGUGUGAGGAGAUAAAUCCUAAGUUUAAAUGAAAAUCACUUUCGAGUUCUAUUUCUUAACUUAAAGUAAGAAGUAGUGGGAGCACCCAUUAUAGUGCCUACGUAUCGUCGAGUAAUUGACUGUACGUGAAAGGUAUUGCUAGCAAUAGUGAUAUAAAUAAAGGGUGGUACCACGCUCAAAGCGUCCCUCAG
rnacentral:ncRNA from 1 species